rnacentral:rRNA from 1 species
UACGUAGGGUGCGAGCGUUGUCCGGAAUUAUUGGGCGUAAAGAGCUUGUAGGCGGUCUGUCGCGUCUGCUGUGAAAAUCCGGGGCUCAACCCCGGACUUGCAGUGGGUACGGGCAGACUAGAGUGUGGUAGGGGAGACUGGAACUCCUGGUGUAGCGGUGAAAUGCGCAGAUAUCAGGAGGAACACCGGUGGCGAAGGCGGGUCUCUGGGCCGAUACUGACGCUGAGGAGCGAAAGCGUGGGGAGCGAACAGG